rnacentral:rRNA from 1 species
CGGAGGAAAAGAAACUAACAAGGAUUCCCCUAGUAGCGGCGAGCGAAGCGGGAAGAGCUCAAAUUUAUAAUCUGGCACCUUCGGUGUCCGAGUUGUAAUCUCUAGAAGUGUUUUCCGCGUUGGACCGCACACAAGUCUGUUGGAAUACAGCGGCAUAGUGGUGAAACCCCCGUAUAUGGUGCGGACGCCCAGCGCUUUGUGAUACACUUUCAAUGAGUCGAGUUGUUUGGGAAUGCAGCUCAAAUUGGGUGGUAAAUUCCAUCUAAAGCUAAAUAUUGGCGAGAGACCGAUAGCGAACAAGUACCGUGAGGGAAAGAUGAAAAGCACUUUGGAAAGAGAGUUAACAGUACGUGAAAUUGUUGGAAGGGAAACGCUUGAAGUCAGACUUGCUUGCCGGAGCUUGCUUCGGUUUGCAGGCCAGCAUCAGUUUUCCGGGGUGGAUAAUGACGGUUUGAAGGUAGCAGUCUCGGCUGUGUUAUAGCUUUCCGUUGGAUACAUCCUGGGGGACUGAGGAACGCAGCGUGCUUUUUGCGAAAGACUCGUCUUUUUCACGCUUAGGAUGCUGGUGGAAUGGCUUUAAACGACCCGUCUU